AGAAGCAGAGGCUGGCACCAUGUUUGUUAUGCAGCCUGCAGAACCGCUGGGGACAGCUCUCUGAAAAUAGGAAUAAAUAGUGGCUCCUCGAUAAACACCUUCUUGCCUACAGCAUGUGUGACUGCAAACACAUUCCCACUUCAACUAAUCCAAGACGAGAAGGAUGACAAAAUAAGAGAAAUCAUGGGAAAAACUGCCCAUUUCUGUUUUGUCCACUUUGCUUUGGGAAGUGAGAGCUAUAGUCAUUAUCACCACAUCCCCUGGCAUCCAAUUCCACAUUCUACCUCAGAAGUUAUUUGGAGGAAUCCAAGGACUUAGAUAUUUUACCAAUGUCUCUGGUGAUUUUUAUAUCGGUGGCCCAUGGGUGUUGACCUAUGAAACUGCUCUGCAGCAGAUAUUGAGAAAUAGGAGUUCAGGCUCCUAGGAAGAAGGAACUUGCCUUGUCUCAGAUCAGACUUUUGGACUUGGACUUUUGAGUUAAUGCUGGAAUGGAUUAAGACUUCGGGGGACUGUUGAGAAGGGAUGAUUGGUUUUGAAAUGUCAGGACAUGAGCUUUGGGAGGGAUCGGGGCAGAAUGAUUUGUGUCUCCACUCAUAUCUCAUCUUGAAUUAUAAUCCCCAGGUGUGGACAGAGAGAACUGGUGGGAAGUAAUUGAAUCAUAGGGGCAGUUCCUCCCAUGUGUUCUUGUGAGAGUGAGUUAGUUCUUUUGAGAUCAGGUGGUUUAAGCCAGUUUUUCCUGCCCUCUCUUGCACUCAUGCACUCUCUCUUCCCUGCCACCCUGUAAAAUAUGCCUGCUUCCUUUCUCCAUGGUUGUAAGUUUCCUGAGUCCCCCCAGCCAUGUAAAACUGGGGGUCAAUUAAACCACUUUUCUUCAUCAA
ensembl:lncRNA LINC02232 long intergenic non-protein coding RNA 2232